rnacentral:rRNA from 1 species
UGCCCUAGUAACGGCGAGUGAAGCGGCAACAGCUCAAAUUUGAAAUCUGGCGCAAGCCCGAGUUGUAAUUUGUAGAGGAUGCUUCUGGCCAGCGGCCGUUCUAAGUUCCUUGGAACAGGACGUCAUAGAGGGUGAGAAUCCCGUAUGUGACCGGCGCGCAGCCUUUACGUAGCUCCUUCGACGAGUCGAGUUGUUUGGGAAUGCAGCUCUAAAUGGGAGGUAAAUUUCUUCUAAAGCUAAAUACCGGCCAGAGACCGAUAGCGCACAAGUAGAGUGAUCGAAAGAUGAAAAGCACUUUGGAAAGAGAGUUAAAAAGCACGUGAAAUUGUUGAAAGGGAAGCGCUUGCAACCAGACUUCGUGGCGAUGUUCCGCCGGUCUUCUGACCGGUCUACUCAUCGUCGCGAGGCCAACAUCGUCUGGGCCCGCUGGAUAAGACCUAAGGAAUGUAGCUUCCCUCGGGAAGUGUUAUAGCCUGUGGUGAUGCAGCGCGGCUCGGGCGAGGUCCGCGCUUCGGCAAGGAUGUUGGCGUAAUGGUUGUCAGCGGCCCGUCUUGAAACACGGACCAAGGAGUCUAACAUCUAUGCGAGUGUUCGGGUGUCAAACCCCUACGCGGAAUGAAAGUGAACGGAGGUGGGAAGCGCAAGCUGCACCAUCGACCGAUCCUGAUGUCCUCGGAUGGAUUUGAGUAAGAGCAUAGCUGUUGGGACCCGAAAGAUGGUGAACUAUGCCUGAAUAGGGUGAAGCCAGAGGAAACUCUGGUGGAGGCUCGCAGCGGUUCUGACGUGCAAAUCGAUCGUCAAAUUUGGG